GCAUAUCAAUAAGCGGAGGAAAAGAAACCAACAGGGAUUGCCCCAGUAACGGCGAGUGAAGCGGCAACAGCUCAAAUUUGAAAUCUGGCCCCUCGGGGUCCGAGUUGUAAUUUGUAGAGGAUGCUUUUGGUGAGGUGCCGCCCGAGUUCCCUGGAACGGGACGCCACAGAGGGUGAGAGCCCCGUCUGGCUGGCCGCCGAGCCUCUGUAAAGCUCCUUCGACGAGUCGAGUAGUUUGGGAAUGCUGCUCAAAAUGGGAGGUAUAUGUCUUCUAAAGCUAAAUAUUGGCCAGAGACCGAUAGCGCACAAGUAGAGUGAUCGAAAGAUGAAAAGCACCUUGAAAAGAGGGUUAAAUAGUACGUGAAAUUGUUGAAAGGGAAGCGCUUGUGACCAGACUUGGGCGCGGCGGAUCAUCCGGGGUUCUCUCCGGUGCACUUCGCCGCGUCUGGGCCAGCAUCAGUUCGUCGCGGGGGAAAAAGGCUUCGGGAACGUGGCUCCUCCGGGAGUGUUAUAGCCCGUUGCAUAAUACCCUGCGGUGGACUGAGGACCGCGCAUCUGCAAGGAUGCUGGCGUAAUGGUCACCAGCGACCCGUCUUGAAACACGGACCAAGGAGUCGUCUUCGUAUGCGAGUGUUCGGGUGUCAAACCCCUACGCGUAAUGAAAGUGAACGCAGGUGAGAGCUUCGGCGCAUCAUCGACCGAUCCUGAUGUUCUCGGAUGGAUUUGAGUAAGAGCAUACGGGGCCGGACCCGAAAGAAGGUGAACUAUGCCUGUAUAGGGUGAAGCCAGAGGAAACUCUGGUGGAGGCUCGCAGCGGUUCUGACGUGCAAAUCGAUCGUCAAAUAUGGGCAUGGGGGCGAAAGACUAAUCGAACCUUCUAGUAGCUGGUUUCCGCCGA
rnacentral:rRNA from 3 species